rnacentral:rRNA from 1 species
GACGAACGCUGGCGGCGUGCUUAACACAUGCAAGUCGAACGGAAAGGCCCUGCUUGCAGGGUCCUCGAGUGGCGAACGGGUGAGUAACACGCGGGUGAUCUGCCCUGCACUUCGGGAUAAGCUUGGGAAACUGGGUCUAAUACCGGAUAGGAACCAUCUUUAGUGUGGUGGUUGGAAAGUUUUUUCGGUGUAGGAUGAGCUCGCGGCCUAUCAGCUUGUUGGUGGGGUAAUGGGCUACCAAGGCGGCGACGGGUAGCCGGCCUGAGAGGGUGUACGGCCACAUUGGGACUGAGAUACGGCCCAGACUCCGACGGGGAGCAGAAGUGGGGGAUAUUGCAAAAUGGGCGCAAGCCUGAUGCAGCGACGCCGCGUGGGGGAUGAAGGCCUUCGGGUUGUAAACUCCUUUCGCUAGGGACGAAGCUUUGUUGUAACGGUACCUGGAUAAGAAGCACCGCCUAACUACGU